AAAGAAAACAAUAAAAUAAUUAAAACUAAAAGGAAUAAACAUGUGAAAUUAAAAAAGGGGUUUAGGGUUGAGGAACAAAUCCGUCUCUUCAUCUCUCUCACGAAGCUUGGUGGCGCCGCACGUCUCUUUUCCUCUUCUUCGAUUCAUACAUCAAACUCCGGUGUCGAAGCUCCGCUCACCUUUGUCUUCGAUGCUACUGUUUCAUUCUUCUUCAAUCUCAGAACUCACGGCCGUCUUCGUGCUCUCCUACUCAACUUGACGGUGCGGCUUCUCCAUAAAUCUUUGUCUCCGAUUCGCUUUACUUUGCAAGCAUCUCUGAUCCAACUUCAACGGCGCGGCUUCUUCUGUGCGAACUCGCUCCGAUCUCAGAUUCCAAUUAUUUUUUGGAGUCGCUCCGAUGGUGUUUCAAGCGCGACGGAGAUGAUGAGAAGUCAGAGAGCAUCUUCAACAAUUGCUCAUAAAUGUUGCCACAACGUGUUGUUGUUGUUUGAAGCAGGGAUAACGAAGUUGAUGGAGAUAGAAGAAGGUGUAGAUGCGGUUUUUGCGGUUUGCUAA